UACAUGAAGGUAUAUUUUUUAUUACAUAUUUGAUUUAAUCAGGGAAAAAAUAAACUAUACGCAAAUAAUCAGCAAAUUUUCAAUAUGGAAUCAAAACUGUAUGAUAUGCCCUUAAACAAACUGUGUUAAUUAAUACUGUAAAAUGCCCUAUGAUAUGUCUUCUAUAUAUAUCCUGAUCUAUAUAUCCAAGUACAUGUACAUGUAGUACCAAUAUUUUAUAGAUCUAUAGAUUGGGUAAUGUCUUUAGGUUGGACAAGAUAGAGGUGAAUAAUACUAUUGUGAUAUUCAAACUCCCAAGUUGAAAAAGAAGUGACAAUGCCAUGACUAAAUAUGAAAAAAACAACCAACAGACCUGCAUGUGAAUAUAAAAAAACACAACAUAAAAAAGUAAAGUCUGAGCAACAUGAAUCCCGCUAAAAAGGGGAUAUCUCAAAUCCCAUGGAAGGGUGUGCAAACAUGAACUCUGAAAUACUCAUAUAUAUAUUUUUUUAAAGAACAGUUCAGAAUUAUUUUAUUGAUUACUGGUUUCUGAACAUUUUCUUUUCGUUAAAACUGGUUUACCUUGCACUUUCAUUUUCAAUGUUUUGAUAUAAAAAUAACUUAUAAUGCCAUGAAUUUCCAAGUUAAACAAUUCUGAAGUUUAUAAAAUUCUUGAUUUUUUCAAGAACUCACUAUUAAUGCUGUAAGAUCAAAAUUUUUUUAGACUUCUAAUGUUUAAAAAAACAAUUUUACAUAUAACACACAUAAACAUUCAAUUUGUUACAUAAUAUUUUGGGAUCAGGCCUCGACAAUAACGCUUGUCCGAUUGUCCGGUACCAGAAGGAAAAAAGGUCAGACAAGUAAAAGCUGUAUCAAGCUUGUCCGUUGGGACAAGUACAAUUAUUCUACAGAAAAUAAAUUUCAUCCAAAUUUGAUGAACAAAAUAUAAUUAUAAACAAAAAACAACAAAAAACAAAUAUUAAUUUGACAUAUGUAUUCUGUUUGUUCCCGGAUCUGUAUAGUGUUGAAUAAAUGGGGGAAAAAACAUGAAUGCAAAUAAAAUAAUGACAGAAUUUUUACCAUGUACAUGUAUCUUUGAUCAAUCAAUUAUACUCAUUUAUAGCACUGUGCAUGUAAAUUAAUAAUACUUUAUUCUUGAAAACUUGAAAAAUAUGGCACUCUAUAUAGUGAAAUCUGAACUAGCAUCAAAUAAAUUUGCAACGUUUUUUGCUAUUUCAUCACACGUCACAUGACUUUAAAAAAGCAAAUUAAAUGACAAACAAAAAAUUGGCAAAUCAUGACACUUUACUUAAGAGUUAUAACACUUUCAAAACAUAUAAGAGCACUAGGAAAAAUAUUUAGACUGCUCCAUAGGAAAAUCAAGGCUUAUUGCCUUUGAUCAUGUUGAUUAUUUCAAAUCAUUUCAUCAAAUAUUUUCUCAUGUUCCUUGUGGAAAAACAAAGCCUCAGUAUGUAUAAUAUGUUUUACAGGAAAAAUGUGAAUACCCUAUUUUUCCAUAAAAAAAUAUUAAUACUUGUACAUAAAAUGAAAGAUUUCUGGUAUAACAAUAUUGAACUUGCUUUAAAUGAAAAAUGAUGAAAAACAUAAGAUCUAAUAAAAAUACAGAUCAUAUUCCCUCGCUUAAAUUUAACAAAGAUCUGACGGCACUCAUUCUUCCUUUUGGGAAUUUUGAAAUCCUUGAGCUGGGACCAAUUGUGUACACCUUCAAAAACUAUAAUUUACAGUACAUGGGGUCAAAUCCAUAUUUAUAAGCAAAGUGUCCACAUAGCAUCUACAGAUUAACAAUCAAAAAUGGAAAAAAUAUGUCACUGGGUUUGUUUA
rnacentral:lncRNA from 1 species